rnacentral:siRNA from 1 species
GGAGUAUAAGACCUAGUGGUCCA